UGCUUCGUCGUUCAAAGGAUAGGACAGCUGGCUACGAACCAGCAGAUAAACGUUCGACUCGUUUCGAAGCAACCA
rnacentral:tRNA from 2 species